rnacentral:rRNA from 1 species
GUAGGGAAUAUUGGACAAUGGGGGCAACCCUGAUCCAGCGACGCCGCGUGAGUGAUGAAGGCCUUCGGGUCGUAAAGCUCUGUUGCAGGGGAAGAACACAAUGACGGUACCCUGCUAGAAAGGAUCGGCUAACUUCGUGCCAGCAGCCGCGGUAAGACGAGGGAUCCUAGCGUUGUUCGGAAUUAUUGGGCGUAAAGCGGGUGCAGGUGGCUUGGUAAGUCAGAUGUGAAAGCCUGGGGCUUAACCCCAGAAGUGCAUUUGAUACUGCUGAGCUUGAGUGCUGGAGAGGCUAUUAGAAUUCCUGGUGUAGUGGUGAAAUACGUAGAUAUCAGGAGGAAUACCGGAGGCGAAGGCGGAUAGUUGGCCAGACACUGACACUCAGACCCGAAAGCGUGGGGAUCAAACAGGAUUAGAAACCCUAGUAGUCC